rnacentral:rRNA from 1 species
UACAGAGACUGCAAGCGUUAUUCGGAUUCACUGGGCGUAAAGGGUGUGCAGGCGGCCAUGUGUGUGAGGCGUGAAAGCCUGGAGCUUAACUCCAGAAUUGCACCUCAAACUACAUGGCUAGAGCAUUGGAGAGGGUAGCAGAAUUCAUGGUGUAGCGGUGAAAUGCGUAGAUAUCGAGAGGAACACCUGCGGCGAAGGCGGGUUGCUGGGACGGUACUGACGCUGAGACGCGAAAGCGUGGGGAGCGAACAGG